AAAUUGAAGAGUUUGAUCAUGGCUCAGAUUGAACGCUGGCGGCAGGCCUAACACAUGCAAGUCGAGCGGUAGCACAGAGAGCUUGCUCUCGGGUGACGAGCGGCGGACGGGUGAGUAAUGUCUGGGAAACUGCCUGAUGGAGGGGAUAACUACUGGAAACGGUAGCUAAUACCGCAUAACGUCGCAAGACCAAAGUGGGGGACCUUCGGGCCUCAUGCCAUCAGAUGUGCCCAGAUGGGAUUAGCUAGUAGGUGGGGUAACGGCUCACCUAGGCGACGAUCCCUAGCUGGUCUGAGAGGAUGACCAGCCACACUGGAACUGAGACACGGUCCAGACUCCUACGGGAGGCAGCAGUGGGGAAUAUUGCACAAUGGGCGCAAGCCUGAUGCAGCCAUGCCGCGUGUGAAGAAGGCCUUCGGGUUGUAAAGCACUUUCAGCGGGGAGGAAGGCGUAAGGUUAAUAACCUUGCGAUUGACGUUACCCGCAGAAGAAGCACCGGCUAACUCCGUGCCAGCAGCCGCGGUAAUACGGAGGGUGCAAGCGUUAAUCGGAAUUACUGGGCGUAAAGCGCACGCAGGCGGUCUGUCAAGUCGGAUGUGAAAUCCCCGGGCUCAACCUGGGAACUGCAUUCGAAACUGGCAGGCUAGAGUCUUGUAGAGGGGGUAGAAUUCCAGGUGUAGCGGUGAAAUGCGUAGAGAUCUGGAGGAAUACCGGUGGCGAAGGCGGCCCCCUGGACAAAGACUGACGCUCAGGUGCGAAAGCGUGGGGAGCAAACAGGAUUAGAUACCCUGGUAGUCCACGCCGUAAACGAUGUCGAUUUGGAGGUUGUGCCCUUGAGGCGUGGCUUCCGGAGCUAACGCGUUAAAUCGACCGCCUGGGGAGUACGGCCGCAAGGUUAAAACUCAAAUGAAUUGACGGGGCCCGCACAAGCGGUGGAGCAUGUGGUUUAAUUCGAUGCAACGCGAAGAACCUUACCUGGUCUUGACAUCCACAGAACUUUCCAGAGAUGGAUUGGUGCCUUCGGGAACUGUGAGACAGGUGCUGCAUGGCUGUCGUCAGCUCGUGUUGUGAAAUGUUGGGUUAAGUCCCGCAACGAGCGCAACCCUUAUCCUUUGUUGCCAGCGGUCGGCCGGGAACUCAAAGGAGACUGCCAGUGAUAAACUGGAGGAAGGUGGGGAUGACGUCAAGUCAUCAUGGCCUUACGACCAGGGCUACACACGUGCUACAAUGGCAUAUACAAAGAGAAGCGACCUCGCGAGAGCAAGCGGACCUCAUAAAGUAUGUCGUAGUCCGGAUUGGAGUCUGCAACUCGACUCCAUGAAGUCGGAAUCGCUAGUAAUCGUAGAUCAGAAUGCUACGGUGAAUACGUUCCCGGGCCUUGUACACCGCCCGUCACACCAUGGGAGUGGGUUGCAAAGAAGUAGGUAGCUUAACCUUCGGGAGGGCGCUUACCACUUUGUGAUUCAUGACUGGGGUGAAGUCGUAACAAGGUAACCGUAGGGGAACCUGCGGUUGGAUCACCUCCUUACCUUAAAGAA
rnacentral:rRNA from 1 species